rnacentral:rRNA from 1 species
AGUGAACGCUGGCGGUGGGCCUAACACAUGCAAGUCGAACGGAAGGACAGUGAGAGCUUGCUGUGACGGGGGGCGGGUGGCGGACGGGUGAGGAAUGCAUCGGAAUCUAGUUUUUGGGGGGGGUUAACGUAGGGAGACUUACUCUAAUACAGCAUACGACCUAGGGGGGAAAGGAGGGGAUCUUCGGGCCUUGCGCGAUUGAAUGCGCGGCUGUCGGAUUAGCUAGUGGGCGGGGUAAAGGCCAACGAAGGCGAGGAUCCGUAGCUGGUCUGAGAGGAUGAUCACCGACACUAGAACUUGACCACGGUCCAUACUCCUACGGGAGGCACCAGUGUGGAAUAUUGGACAACGGGCGCAAGCAUGACCCAGCCAGACCGCGUCGGUGACGAAGGCCUCCGGUUCGUAAAGACCUCUUGUUGGGAAAGAAACGCAGCAGGUUAAUACCCAGCUGUUCUGACGGUACCCAAAGAAUAAGCACCGGCUAACUUCGUG